AGAGCGAACGCUGGCGGCAGGCUUAACACAUGCAAGUCGAGCGGAUGUAGCAAUACAUCAGCGGCAGACGGGUGAGUAACACGUGGGAACGUACCUUUGGUUCGGAACAACACAGGGAAACUUGUGCUAAUACCGGAUAAGCCCUUACGGGGAAAGAUUUAUCGCCGAAAGAUCGGCCCGCGUCUGAUUAGCUAGUUGGUGAGGUAAUGGCUCACCAAGGCGACGAUCAGUAGCUGGUCUGAGAGGAUGAUCAGCCACAUUGGGACUGAGACACGGCCCAAACUCCUACGGGAGGCAGCAGUGGGGAAUAUUGGACAAUGGGCGCAAGCCUGAUCCAGCCAUGCCGCGUGAGUGAUGAAGGCCCUAGGGUUGUAAAGCUCUUUGUGCGGGAAGAUAAUGACGGUACCGCAAGAUAAGCCCGGCUAACUUCGUGCCAGCAGCCGC
rnacentral:rRNA from 1 species